UUUAGGAGCCAAUGAUGUUUAUUCAAAUGUCUGAACCUGUCUGAAGCAUCCCAGUGAUGCAACCUGUGUGUGGUACUGAGGCUUCUUUGCCA
rfam:Tupaia chinensis contig209061, whole genome shotgun sequence.